rnacentral:tRNA from 1 species
CUGUGAUCGGUGGGGCUGCACGGGUUGGAAACCCGUGCAAACAGACACCGGUUGGAAACCGGUGCCACGGAC